AGCGAACGCUGGCGGCGUGCUUAACACAUGCAAGUCAAACGGUUCGGAGUAGCAAUACUUCUGGGAUAGUGGCGAACGGGUGAGUAACACGUGGGUAAUCUUCCCCGAGUGAGGMAUAAGUCUGCGAAAGCGGGUCUAAUACCGCAUGACACCCCGGGACAAAGUUCUCGGGGUCAAAGCCGUAAGSGCCUUGGGGAUGAGCCUGCGUCCUAUUAGCUAGUGGUAGGGUAAUGGCCUACCAAGGCGAUGAUGGGUAGCCGGCCUGAGAGGGUGAUCGGCACACUGGGACUGAGACACGGCCCAGACUCCUACGGGAGGCAGCAGUGAGGAAUUUUGCGAAUGGGCGAAAGCCUGACGCAGCGACGCCGCGUGGAGGAAGAAGGCCUUCGGGUCGUAACUCCUGUCAGAGGUGAAGAAGGCCCGCAAGGGUUUGACGGUAACCUCAGAGGAAGCCCCGCUAACUACGUGCCAGCAGCCGCGGUAAUACGUAGGGGGCGAGCDUUGCUCGGAAUUACGGGCGUAAAGGGUGUGCAGGCGGCCGAUUAAGUCAACGAUGAAAUCCCGAAGCUCAACUCGGAAUGGUCUUUGAUACUGAUCGGCUUGAGGCUAACAGAGGAGAGCAGAAUUCCCGGUGAGCGGUGCAAAUGCGUAGAUA
rnacentral:rRNA from 1 species